UACGUAGGGUGCAAGCGUUGUCCGGAAUUAUUGGGCGUAAAGAGCUCGUAGGCGGUCUGUCGCGUCGGCUGUGAAAUCCCGGAGCUCAACUCCGGGUCUGCAGUCGAUACGGGCAAACUGGAGUACUGCAGGGGAGACUGGAAUUCCUGGUGUAGCGGUGAAAUGCGCAGAUAUCAGGAGGAACACCGAUGGCGAAGGCAGGUCUCUGGGCAUUAACUGACGCUGAGGAGCGAAAGCAUGGGGAGCGAACAGG
rnacentral:rRNA from 1 species